GGAGAAAAUUAAACCAACUGAUGGGGGCGAUUUUAAUUAGCCAAAUACACUGACGUCAUCCGAGGUCAUUAAGAUGGCAGCGUUUGACAACUAGCCGGUUUUCUCAUAAGAGUCAAUGCUAAUAUUUUCGGAAUUCAUUUAAAUUUGAGAAUGUGUCAAGUGUGUUUUUAUAGUUUGGAGAAAAUGCCUAAAUUUUGUGCUGUUGUGGGUUGCGCGAAAUUUUGCGCUCCAGAAAUGCGGACAAAUUUUAUUUUCCUUUCCCAGCAAUUAGCAACAAUAAAGGUAAAUAUAUACAGGAUGGGGAAAAAAGGCGGAAGCUUUGGUUAAAAGCCUUGAAACGAGUGGAUUUAACGAAGCCAAAGUAAAGUAUUCCUAUAUUUGUUCGGAUCAUUUUAUUUUAGGUAAACCUGCAGAUUUGUCGGAUGUGGACCACCCUGAUUAUGUUCCAUCACAAAAUUUAGGAUAUCAAAAUAAAUCCACUAAUAAUACUUGUAAUGUUGAAAGACACAGUCGUUUAAAAAAGAGAAAACUGAAUAAAUGCCUCUAGACUUUUGAAUGCACGAAUUUCAUUGUGGGUUAUUUUACUUAUUCCAAAAAUAAAAAAGUUUAGAAUGGUAUUCAUUGUUAUGGUAGGGACAUCGUCUAAACACAAAUUAAAAUCACUUGCACUCAUUAUA